rnacentral:lncRNA from 1 species
CGGAACUUGCAGUGAGCCGAGAUCGCGCCACUACACUCCAGCCUGGGCGACAGAGCGAGACUCCGUCUCAAAAAGAAAAAAACAAACAAAAAAAUUAAGUGCUGGGAUUACGGGCGUGAGCCACUGCGCCCGGCCCUAGUUGAAUCAUUUUUAAAAUCCAUUCUUGAGCCAGGCACGGUGGUUUAUACCUAUAAUCCCAGCACUUUGGGAAGCUGAGGCAGGAGGAUUGCUUGAGCUCUAGGAGUUUGAGACCAGCCUGGGCAGAGAGAUCCUGCCUCUAAAAAAAAAAUUUUUUUAAAUCCAUUCUGACAAUCUUGCCUUUUAAUUGGAGAGUUGAGUCAAUUCCAUUUCAAGUAAUUACUGAGGCUGGGCGCAGUGGCUCACGCCUGUAAUCCCAGCACUUUGGGAGGCCAAGGUGGGCACAUCACUUGAGGCCAGGAGUUUAAGACCAGUCUGACCAACAUGGUGAAACCCCGUCUCUAAUAAAAAUACAAAAAGUAGCCGGGUGUGGUGGUGCACACUUGUAGUCCCAGGUACUUGGGAAACUGAGGCAGGGGAAUUGCUUGAACCUAGAAAGCGGAGGUUGCAGUGAGCCGAGAUCACACCACUGUACUCCAUCCUGAGCGACGGAGUGAGACUCUGUUUAAAAAAAAAAAAAAAGUAAUUACUGAUAAGGAAAGACUUACUUGUGCCAUUUUGCUAUUUGUUUUCUACGUCUUGUAUCUUUUCGUUCCUCAUUUCCUCCAUUAAUGCCUUCCUUUUUUAAAAGAUAGGGUCUUGUUCUGUUGCCCAGACUGAAGUAUAGCAGUGCAGUCACAACUUGCUGCAGGCUUGAACUCCUGGCCUCAAAUGAUUAUCCUGCCUCAGCCUUCCAAGUACCUAAGACUACAGGCAUGUACCACCAUGUGUCUUGCUAUUUUAUUUUAUUUUAUUUUUAUUUUUGUGGAGACGGAGUCUUGCUAUGUUGCCCAGGCUGGUCUCGAACUCCUGGCCUCAAGGGAUCCUCCCGCCUUGGCCUUCCAAAGUGCUGGGAUUACAGGUGUGAGCCACCACACCUGGACUUCUUGAGUCUUUUAUGAGCAUGCAUCUUGCCCUGCAUGUAUAUGGCUUUCUCAAUUCCCUCAUAUUUGAGGGAGCUUUUCAGUUCCCCAGAGAAUGUCUCCCCACCUUUUCCUUACAACCUUUCAGCUUGUCUGUUGUUCAUGUAAACUGUAAUCUUUGCUCUGGACAGCAGAGGUUUGUUAAUUUGCCUUUCAGUGUUUUGGAGAACUGUCCUCUUAAGUAGAAGCUUUUCCAUCUUGAGAGAUUUCUGAGUCAGGCAAAACAAAAGCGAAUGUCUGGCAUCCAUUCUUUAGGUAGUCCCCAGACAGGUCGGAACUAAUAGAUACAAUCCUUUGAGAACAAAGUCUGCUUUGCUCCCUUGAGAACCAAAGGCUAGGGUCCCACAAUGGGAAUGCCAUCUUCACACCACCACUAACUCAGAAGGGAAAUGGGGCAAGGGCAGGUAAAAUACUGCAAAACUCUCAUUAUAUUAAGUUGCCACUUUCUUGAUUCAGCACUUGCUUGGUUGUUGUAAAUCUUUGAUUAUUUUCCAGAGUUCCGACAAAGGUUGUUCCAACAGUCGUUGCUCAUGUUUUCCGUUUUUUUUUUUUUUUUAAGGCACAGGCCCUUGGAGCUGUCUGUUUUACUACUUUUGCUUACAUUCUAUUAAUAUUGAGCCCCAUGGAACCUCAGUUUAUUCAUCUGUAAAAUGUGGUAGUGCGCAGGGCUUCUACUUCACAAACUCUGGGGCUGCAAUGAAAAGGGAGUCCAGGCCGGGUGCAGUGGCUCAUGCCUGUAAUCCCAACACUUUGGGAGGCCAAGACGGGCAGAUCACUUGAGGUCAGGAGUUCAAGACCAGCCUGGCCAACAUGGUGAAACCCCAUCUCUACUAAAAAUACAAAAAAAUUAGCCGGGCAUCAUGGCACGUAUCUGUAAUCCCAGUUACUCAGGAGGCUGAGGAAUAACUUGAACCCAGGAGGCGGAGGUGGCAGUGAGCCGAGAUCGCACCUCUGCACUCAAGCCUGGGUGAUGGAGCAAGACUCUUAUCUCAAAAAAAAUAAAUAAAUAAGGGGGAGUCUAGCCAGGUGACCUCAGUCAACAGUAGUUUGUUCAAGAAACCUUGAGAAGAAAGAAAGAGAGCAAGAAGAACAAGGAUGCCACCUGGCUCCAUCUAGGAUAUCAUGAUGACUCUAGUGACCACAAAGCAAUUCCCCAUUCUAUUAUGUUGUUGACCCUGCCUGUGACCUUGACCCUGCCUAUGACCUAUUCCUUCUAAUGUGCCAGUAACCUCGAGACAACCCCCACUCAUGUUGUGGCUUCAUUCUCCCAAGAGAGAUGAUCUGAUUGGUUCCUCUCAUCAGGGAAGCUGGACCGGGCCACCUCAUAGGCUGCUGGCCAGUCAGUGAGUGGCUGCCAUUGCUCAGACCCCAGCCCUGGUCCAGUCAGCCCUGGCUAGAGAUGCCAUUCCCAUACAAAGCAGGGCGUGAGGGUUAGGUAGGGGGGCCUCUGGGGCCACUCAAAAGGGGCCAAACUCUGACAACAUGUGGCAUGUUGAGGCAGGUGGAAAAGCAGAUCACAAAUGUCAAAUGCUUUUCAUGUAGUAGAAUUCUUUUUUUUUUUUUUUUUUUGAGAUGAUCUUGCUCUGUCACCCAGGCUGGAGUGCAGUGGCGCAAUCUCGGCUGACUGCAGCCUCCACCUUCCGGGUUCCAGUGAUUCUCCUGCCUCAGCCUCCCAGGUAGCUGGGAUUACAGGCGCCUGCCACCAUUCCCGGCUGAUUUCUGUAUUUUUUUAGUAUAGACCAGGUUUCACCAUGUUGGCCAGGCUGGUCUCAAACUCCUGACCUCAAGUGAUCCGCCCACCUUGGCCUCUCAAGGUGCUGGGAUUACAGGUGUGAGCCACCAUGCCUGGCCUCACGUAGUAUAAUUCUAACUACCAGUCUCCUCUUCCAUAAAAGGGUCAGCAACUUGAGGGUAAGGAUGUCUGUCUCCACUGAGCCCAGCUCAGUGCCCUGUGCAGUGCGAGUGUUUGCUGAUGGAAACUGGCUGCUUCUGUGGGAAUCCGGGCCUGUCGGCAGAGCUGUAACAGGGUGGGCAGGCAGCAGUAGCUGGGGACUAGGCAUCAGGCGAGGGGCAGGCAGGUGUAGCCAACCAGUCCAAGAAUUUGUUUCCAACAUCAAAGCCCCUGCACCCUGAGCUGAUGAAGUUGUGCUGGGUCUACUGGGAAGGAGGAUGGGAAGACGGAAUCCCAGGUUGUGACAUCAUGAUCCUGAGGGGUAAGUGUCCUCUUUUUGGGCCCCAUCCUCCACUGCCCAGCCCGAACCUGGGCUUGCUGUGGGUGACGGGUGGCCCCAGUGGGUUUCCUGGGACUGUCUGGCCUGGGAGGUGGGCAGGUGGGUGUCUGCCUUCCUGGUCCCAGGUGGAUCUGGCAGGUCUAGGGAGCUUUUUUUUUUUUUUUCUUUGAGGCAGAAUUUCGCUCCUAUUGCCCAGGCUGGAAUGCAGUGGCACGAUCUCGGCUCACUGCAACCUCCGCCUCCCGGAUUCAAGCGAUUCUCCUGCCUCAGUCUCCCAAGUACUGGGAUUACAGGCAUGCGCCACUACGCCCGGCUAAUUUUGUAUUUUUAGUAGAGAUGGGGUUUCUCCAUGUUGGUCAGGCUGGUCUCAAACUCCCGACCUCAGGUGAUCCACCUGCCUCAGCCUCCCAAAGUGCUGGGAUUAUGUGAGCCACCGCGCCUGGCUUCUAGGGAGCUUUUAGGUACAACGGACAACAGUUGUACUCUCCUCUGAAGGUAGAGGAGAAGGAGACUCAGCAAGUGUUGGGGUCCUGCCUCCAACAGUCCCAGAGAGCACAAGUAGGCCUAUUGGUCUUGCAAGAGACUCCAAGACUCCAACAACCGUUUCCCUAAUAUCAUCAGAGGUGGUACUUUAGUUCCAACCUCACUCCAGGACUCUAGCUCAGGCAGGUCAUAAAGAAAAGGGCCUGGAUUUGACCUAGGACUCUGGCUCAGCAUGCAUGCACUUAUCCACGAGGUUAGCUGGCCUCCAUAGAGGCAGUCUCCCUCAUAUCUCCUGUAUCAGUCGUCCUCUCUAAGCCACUGUCUAGGCCCCAUCACCUCCCCGCUGGACUGCUGGGAUCAACUCCUCUGUGGCUUCUCUGCUUCUGCUCCUCCUCCACCUCAGACUAGCAAACUCAUAUUCAUCCCUCAGGGCCCAGCUGGGGAAAUACCUCCUCUGGAAUGGCUGCCCUGACUUCUCAGGUGGAAUCAGUGGCUCCCUCGACAUGCUUCUGCAGGGCCCUCACAAGACGUAUCACAAGUUAUAUUUGGCUUCCUGUGGCCUUGGGAGCGGGGACUGUGUCUCCUUUGUUUCAAAGUCUCCAGACCAGGCAGGGCCUGGCUCGGGGCAGCUGUCUGUGAACAGUGCUCAAAGGAAUGAAUCCUUCCUUGGGGUCUGCCCUGUGGCUUAUUUCAGCAACCAAGGUCAUAUCUUGCCUGUCUUCCUCCUUGAUGCCAAAAAGCCCCUGGCUUCUGAGCAGGUACCCUGUGCUGGCUGAGCACCUAAUAUCUAAUAGGUGCUCAGUGAAUGUUCACAAAGGCAGGUGGGCAGAAAACCCUUGCUUUUCUCUGGGACGGGCAGGGUAGUAUAGGUGUGUGGUGAAGCAGGCCUUUCCUCCAUCCGUGUGUAGAAUUGGUGGGGUCGCCAAAGCCCUGCCCACACUGACUGCCUCUCUAAGGCCAGAUUUCCAAGGAGGAGCUAUCCUGGGGAGGCAGAGGAUGCUGGUGAGAGCCCAGGGGCUCAUGGAGUGGGAGAGCAAUAGUUGUCCAUCCAACUAGGUGCUCUGCCCAGGAGCUCAGGAUUCCUUGCAGCACUCCAAGUGGAUGAAGAGCAGCUCCUGCCCGCUGCUGGCAGCCUCAGGCCCAGGGGCCUCCACCCCGCAGAGGCCUGAGCCAAGCUCGCCAUUCGCCCUGGGCUGGAUCUCAGCUCCGGAAGGAGACGUCGAGAAGAGGCUGCCAAAGAGCCUGGAGGGGCCACUUCAGAGCAGCGCCUUGAAGAGGAAGGAGAGGGAGGCUCCACAGGAAAGUCCCAGGGCCAGGAAGAAGGUCAUGAGGGCGCCGGCCACCUCCCUCUCGUGUGGCAGCACCUGCCUAGAACACCCGGGAACAGGAGCUCUUAGAAAAUGCUGGGUCUAAAUCUGGACCCAGCUCCACUGCCCUCUGCCCAUCCAGUCUGGGCUCUGACCCAACCCCUCUGUCACCAUAACUGGCCCCUUCUUUCCGGGCCUCAGUUUCCUGGUCUGUAAAUGAGGCUGCUGGAUAAGGAUGUCUCUCAGGGCCUCUGAGUCUAACAUGAUGGGAUUCCAG